GCGCUCGUAGCUCAGUGGAUAGAGUAUCAGAUUGCGGAUCUGAGGGUCGCAGGUUCGAAUCCUGCCGGGCGCA
rnacentral:tRNA from 1 species